CUGUCGGCGGUUAUAUGCUUAUCUCAAAGGCUAAGCCAUGCAUGUCUAAGUUCAAAUAGCCUAUAAUGGUGAAACCGCGAACGGCUCAUUACAACAGCUAUUAUAUACUUGAUCUUGAUAUCCUACGUGGAUAACUGUGGUAAUUCUAGAGCUAAUACAUGCACCAAAGCUCCGAAUUUUUGACGAGCGCAUCUAUUAGAUUAAAACCAAUCGGGUUUCGGCCCGUUUGUUGGUGACUCUGAAUAACUAUAGCUGAUCGCAUGGUCUAGAACCGGCGACGUGUCUAUCAAGUGUCUGCCUUAUCAACUGUCGAUGGUAGUUUAUGUGCCUACCAUGGUUGUAACGGGUAACGGAGAAUAAGGGUUCGACUCCGGAGAGGGAGCCUGAGAAACGGCUACCACAUCCAAGGAAGGCAGCAGGCGCGCAAAUUACCCACUCUCGGCAUGAGGAGGUAGUGACGAAAAAUAACGAGACCGUUCUCUAUGAGGCCGGUUAUCGGAAUGGGUACAAUUUAAACCCGUUAACGAGGAUCUAUGAGAGGGCAAGUCUGGUGCCAGCAGCCGCGGUAAUUCCAGCUCUCAAAGUGUAUAUCGUCAUUGCUGCGGUUAAAAAGCUCGUAGUUGGAUCUGCGCCUCAGGACUUGGUCCGCCCACUGGGUGAGAACUGGGCUCCUGGGCUAGUUCUGCUGGUUUUCCCUGCGUUGCCUUCAUCGGUAGCGUAGGGUGGCUAGCGAGUUUACUUUGAAAAAAUUAGAGUGCUUCACGCGGGCUUAUGUCUGAAUACUCGUGCAUGGAAUAAUAGAAUAGGAUCUCGGCUCUAUUUUGUUGGUUUUCUGAUCUGAGAUAAUGGUUAAGAGGGACGGACGGGGGCAUUCGUAUCGCUGCGUGAGAGGUGAAAUUCUUGGACCGUAGCGAGACGUCCGACUGCGAAAGCAUUUGCCAAGAAUGUCUUCGUUGAUCAAGAACGAAAGUUAGAGGAUCGAAGGCGAUCAGAUACCGCCCUAGUUCUGACCGUAAACGAUACCAACUAGCGUUCCGUCGGCGGUAAAUACGCCUUGACGGGCAGCUUCCCGGAAACGAAAGUCUUUCGGUUCCGGGGGAAGUAUGGUUGCAAAGCUGAAACU
rnacentral:rRNA from 1 species